UACGAAGGGUGCAAGCGUUAAUCGGAAUUACUGGGCGUAAAGCGUGCGUAGGUGGUUUGUUAAGUCUGUUGUGAAAGCCCUGGGCUCAACCUGGGAAUGGCGAUGGAUACUGGCGAGCUAGAGUACGGUAGAGGAUGGUGGAAUUCCCGGUGUAGCGGUGAAAUGCGUAGAGAUCAAGAGGAACACUCGUGGCGAAAGCGAGCUACUGGACAAUUCCUGACGCUGAGGCUCGAAGGCUAGGGUAGCGAAAGGG
rnacentral:rRNA from 1 species